CAGUCGCCGCGGGAAUACGAUGGGGGCUAGCGUUGUUCGGAUUUACUGGGCGUAAAGGGCGCGUAGGCGGACUGAUAAGUCAGGGGUGAAAUCCCAAGGCUCAACCUUGGAACUGCCUUUGAUACUGUUUGUCUUGAGUUCGAGAGAGGUAAGUGGAACUGCGAGUGUAGAGGUGAAAUUCGUAGAUAUUCGCAAGAACACCAGUGGCGAGGGCGGCUUACUGGCUCGAUACUGACGCUGAGGCGCGAAAGCGUGGGGAGCAAACAGGAUUAGAUACCCGAGUAGUCCCUGUCUCUUAUAC
rnacentral:rRNA from 1 species